rnacentral:rRNA from 1 species
ACCUGGCCUUGACAUACUAAGAACUUUCCAGAGAUGGAUUGGGUGCCUUCGGGAACUUAGAUACAGGUGCUGCAUGGCUGUCGUCAGCUCGUGUCGUGAGAUGUUGGGUUAAGUCCCGCAACGAGCGCAACCCUUUUCCUUAUUUGCCAGCGGGUUAAGCCGGGAACUUUUAAGGAUACUGCCAGUGACAAACUGGAGGAAGGCGGGGACGACGUCAAGUCAUCAUGGCCCUUACGGCCAGGGCUACACACGUGCUACAAUGGUCGGUACAAAGGGUUGCUACCUCGCGAGAGGAUGCUAAUCUCAAAAAGCCGAUCGUAGUCCGGAUCGCAGUCUGCAACUCGACUGCGUGAAGUCGGAAUCGCUAGUAAUCGCGGAUCAGAAUGCCGCGGUGAAUACGUUCCCGGGCCUUGUACACACCGCCCGUCACACCAUGGGAGUUUGUUGCACCAGAAGUAGGUAGUCUAACCGCAAGGAGGACGCUUACCACGGUGUGGCCGAUGACUGGGGUGAAGUCGUAACAAGGUAAGCGUAGAUGA